rnacentral:rRNA from 1 species
UAGGGAAUCUUCGGCAAUGGACGAAAGUCUGACCGAGCAACGCCGCGUGAGUGAAGAAGGUUUUCGGAUCGUAAAACUCUGUUGUUAGAGAAGAACAAGGACGUUAGUAACUGAACGUCCCCUGACGGUAUCUAACCAGAAAGCCACGGCUAACUACGUGCCAGCAGCCGCGGUAAUACGUAGGUGGCAAGCGUUGUCCGGAUUUAUUGGGCGUAAAGCGAGCGCAGGCGGUUUCUUAAGUCUGAUGUGAAAGCCCCCGGCUCAACCGGGGAGGGUCAUUGGAAACUGGGAGACUUGAGGGCAGAAGAGGAGGGUGGAAUUCCAUGUGUAGCGGUGAAAUGCGUAGAUAUAUGGAGGAACACCAGUGGCAAAGGCGGCUCUCUGGUCGUUAACUAACGCUGAGGCUGGAAAGCGUGGGAGCAAACAGG